GUGGGGAAUAUUGGACAAUGGGCGCAAGCCUGAUCCAGCCAUGCCGCGUGAGUGAUGAAGGCCUUAGGGUUGUAAAGCUCUUUCACCGGUGAAGAUAAUGACGGUAACCGGAGAAGAAGCCCCGGCUAACUUCGUGCCAGCAGCCGCGGUAAUACGAAGGGGGCUAGCGUUGUUCGGAAUUACUGGGCGUAAAGCGCACGUAGGCGGAUAUUUAAGUCAGGGGUGAAAUCCCAGAGCUCAACUCUGGAACUGCCUUUGAUACUGGGUAUCUCGAGUAUGGAAGAGGUAAGUGGAAUUCCGAGUGUAGAGGUGAAAUUCGUAGAUAUUCGGAGGAACACCAGUGGCGAAGGCGGCUUACUGGUCCAUUACUGACGCUGAGGUGCGAAAGCGUGGGGAGCAAACAGGAUUAGAAACCCGAGUAGUCC
rnacentral:rRNA from 1 species